UGAGGAUUGAACCAGGUAUUCUCCCAUGCUGGGCAAAUGUUCUACUAGUGAGAUGCACCCUCAACCCUUUAUUUUAUUUUCAGAUAGCAACUUGCUGAGUUGCUGAGAGACUAAGUUGCUGAGGCUGGCCUCCAACUGGUGAUCCUUCUGAUUCAGCCUCCUGAUUUGCUAUGAUUAUAGGAAGGAGCCGCCACACCUGGCUUCACAGUCAAGAUUUUACUAGAGAUGUGAGAGGAGGGUCCCCAGGGUGGCACCUCCCCUGCUCUGUGAUGUUUUCCCACCUGUGAAGUGAAAAUAAUGAGUGGCUCCCUGAGAGUGGCAGAGAGCAUGAAAUGGGACAUGGGUUGGGAGCAGGCAGUGGUCAGUAUUUGCUGGCUACCACACAGAGGGUGAUGACAGAUGGGGGUGAUGGAUAGUCCACUGUGUGAUACUGGGUGAGUCACUGGACUCCACCUUACGUGUCUGUAAAAUUAUGGUGUUGGAUCAGAUAACUGGGUGAGGGCUUAUCCAGUCCGUUCUAGAAUUCUCUAGGUCUAUUCUUUCCUUUCUUUCUUUUCCCCUUGGGAUGGGGACUGAACCCAGGGGCUGUUUACCACCCACAUUCCAGCCCUUUUUAUUUUUCAUUUUGAGCAGGGUCUCGAUAAAUGGCUUAGGGCAUUGCUAAAUUGCUGUGGCUGACUUUGAACUUGUGAUCCUCCUGCUUCAGCCUCCCGACUCACUAGGAUUACUGGUGUGUGCCACUACUCUUGAUCCUAUCUUUUACUUCAAAACAGGGUCUCCUAAUGGCCAAUGCUGAUCUUGAAUUUGAGAUUUUCUUGCCUGGCCACCCAAGCCUCUGGGAUUACAGGACUGCCUCACUGUGCCCUGCCCUUUUCCUGCAAUUUUGUUGUUGUUGUUGUUGGGGACAGUACUGGGGAUUGAAGUCGGGGGCACUCGACCACUGAGCCACAUCCUCAGCCCUAUUUUGUAUUUUAUUUAGAGACAGGGUCUCACUGAGUUGCUUAGCGCCUUGCUUUUUCUGAGGCUGGUUUUGAACUCCCCAUCCUCCUGCCUCAGCCUCCCUAGCCGAUGGGAUUACAGGCUGAGCCACUGCGCCCAGCUUCUUCUGGCAAUGUUGAAGCUCUCUUUUGACAAGUGAUGAGAGACAGAGUCUCAGGGUGGAGAGAAAACCGGCCUGGAAUCAGGAGGCCUGAGAUGCUAGCUGUGGCCUUUGCAGUGGUGUCCCCACCACAGUGCAUUUAGCCGACACGCAUUUGACACACACGCGGAGGAAGGGGAGAGAGCUGGGUACACCUGAAUCACUGCUAUGGGGUCCCAUGCCCAUCCGUCCCUCGAGCAUCUACUCCUUGAUGAGUAUGUGACCUGCCCUGGUCCCCCAAAGGGUCAAAAGUUCC
rnacentral:lncRNA from 1 species